rnacentral:rRNA from 1 species
UACGGAGGGGGCUAGCGUUGUUCGGAAUUACUGGGCGUAAAGGGCUCGUAGGCGGCCAACUAAGUCACACGUGAAAUCCCCAGGCUUAACCUGGGAACUGCGUGUGAUACUGGAUGGCUUGAAUUCGGGAGAGGGAUGCAGAAUUCCGGGUGUAGCGGUGAAAUGCGUAGAUAUCUGGAGGAAUACCGGUGGCGAAGGCGGCAUCCUGGACCGACAUUGACGCUGAGGAGCGAAAGCUAGGGGAGCAAACGGG